rnacentral:rRNA from 1 species
GAUGAGCCCGCGUUGGAUUAGCUAGUUGGUGGGGUAAAGGCCUACCAAGGCGACGAUCCAUAGCUGGUCUGAGAGGAUGAUCAGCCACAUUGGGACUGAGACACGGCCCAAACUCCUACGGGAGGCAGCAGUGGGGAAUAUUGGACAAUGGGCGCAAGCCUGAUCCAGCCAUGCCGCGUGAGUGAUGAAGGUCUUAGGAUUGUAAAGCUCUUUCACCGGGGACGAUAAUGACGGUACCCGGAGAAGAAGCCCCGGCUAACUUCGUGCCAGCAGCCGCGGUAAUACGAAGGGGGCUAGCGUUGUUCGGAAUUACUGGGCGUAAAGCGCACGUAGGCGGAUAUUUAAGUCAGGGGUGAAAUCCCGGGGCUCAACCCCGGAACUGCCUUUGAUACUGGGUAUCUUGAGUGUGGUAGAGGUGAGUGGAAUUGCGAGUGUAGAGGUGAAAUUCGUAGAUAUUCGCAGGAACACCAGUGGCGAAGGCGGCUCACUGGACCACAACUGACGCUGAGGUGCGAAAGCGUGGGGAGCAAACAGGAUUGGAUACCCUGGUAGUCCACGCC